UUUCUUUGUGUUGUACUGGAGCUGAUUAUGUUUCUUUAUGUGAACUUUCUAUAGAUGCAUUCUAGUGGAUGAGAAUGACCAGGUUGUUGGUCAUGAUACAAAAUAUAAUUCUAUCCACUCUACUGUGAAUCUGAGCUUAUCGCUGAGGAGGCCCUUGGUAAUAUAUUUCUGCAGAGUAGAUAUUUGGCUAUCCAUUCAAAGCUUAUGUCUUCUAAAUCUGAUUAUUAUCUUUUUAAAUCACCAGGAGCAAGGAAUACCGCACAGAGGAAGCUGUUAGAUGAACUGAGUAUUCCUGCUGAAGAUGUGCCAGUUGAUCAAUUUACCCCACUAGGCAGGAUGUUGUACAAAGCUCCUUCUGAUGGCAAAUGGGGCGAGCACGAACGUAAUAAUUCUUACUUUAUUAAUUUAUAUACUAUACAUCAUAUUCUGUCCCCCCUUUGGUGUGGUAACUAGACUCUAUAAACCAUUUAUAUGCAAAAUAAAUAUAUAGAAUCAAGAUACCGUGUGCGAUUGGCUAUCGCACUGUUCUCUACUGUCCCCCAAAAGAAAAAAAAAACAUGUCAACUUAUGUUAUAGUUUUGGAGUAUCAUUCCAAAACAUACCUGGGAUGUCUGUUUUCUUAUGUAGUACCAAAGUUUCUAUACAAUGAAGAGUGAGUCUUGGUUCUGCUAAA